UGGUUGUUCUGUGUAAUCCAGAAAGGAAAUACUGCCCUGCACAUCGCCUCCCUGGCAGGCCAGACGGAAGUGGUCAAAGAGCUGGUCACUAAUGGAGCCAAUGUCAACGCACAGUCACAGAAUGGCUUCACACCACUCUACAUGGCAGCCCAGGAGAACCACCUCGAGGUGGUCCGCUUCCUCCUGGAGAACAGCGCCAGUCAGAGCAUCGCCACCGAGGAUGGCUUCACCCCCCUCGCGGUGGCCCUCCAGCAGGGCCACGACCAGGUGGUCUCCCUGCUGCUGGAGAACGAUACGAAGGGCAAGGUGCGUCUGCCUGCCCUGCACAUCGCCGCCCGCAAGGACGACACCAAGGCCGCCGCCCUGCUGCUGCAGAACGACCACAACGCCGAUGUGGAGUCCAAGAUGGUGGUGAAUAGAACAACAGAGAGUGGAUUCACACCGCUCCACAUUGCUGCUCACUAUGGCAACAUCAACGUCGCUACCCUUUUGCUGAACCGAGGGGCUGCUGUGGACUUCAUGGCCAGGAAUGACAUCACUCCUCUCCAUGUGGCGUCUAAAAGAGGCAACAGCAACAUGGUGAAACUACUGCUGGACAGAGGCUCCAUAAUAGACGCCAAAACCAAGGACGGUCUGACUCCUCUCCACUGCGGGGCGAGGAGCGGUCAUGAGCAGGUGGUGGAGAUCCUCCUGGACCGUGGGGCGCCCUUCCUGUCCAAGACCAAGAACGGCCUCUCCCCGCUCCACAUGGCCACGCAGGGCGACCACCUCAACUGCGUGCAGCUGCUGCUGCAGCACGAGGUGCCGGUGGACGACGUGACCAACGACUACCUGACGGCGCUGCACGUGGCCGCCCACUGCGGCCACUACAAGGUGGCCAAGCUCAUCGUGGACAAGAAGGCCAACCCCAACGCCAAGGCCCUGAACGGGUUCACUCCACUUCACAUCGCCUGCAAGAAGAACAGAGUCAAGGUGAUGGAGCUGCUUCUCAAACACGGGGCCUCCAUCCAGGCUGUGACGGAGUCUGGCCUGACGCCCAUCCAUGUGGCGGCCUUCAUGGGCCACGAGAACAUCGUCAACUCCCUCACUCAUCACGGAGCCUCGCCCAACACCACCAACGUGCGGGGAGAGACAGCCCUCCACAUGGCGGCCCGGGCCGGCCAGGCGGACGUGGUUCGGUACCUGUUGCAGAACGGAGCCAAGGUGGAGACCAAGGCCAAGGAUGACCAGACCGCGCUGCACAUCUCCAGUCGUCUGGGCAAGGCAGACAUUGUUCAGCAGCUGCUGCAGCACGGGGCCACCGCCAACGCGGCCACCACCUCGGGCUACACCCCCCUGCACCUGGCCGCCCGCGAGGGCCACCAGGACGUGGCCGGCCUGCUGCUGGAGAGCGGAGCCUCCCUCUCCUCCUCCACCAAGAAAGGGUUCAGUCCCCUUCACGUGGCCGCAAAGUACGGCAAGAUGGAGGUGGCCAACCUUCUGCUGCAGAAGAGGGCGGCGCCGGAUGCUGCCGGGAAGAGUGGUCUAACUCCACUGCAUGUUGCGGCUCACUACGAUAAUCAGAGAGUGGCUCUGCUUCUUCUGGAUCAGGGAGCAUCUCCGCACGCUGCCGCAAAGAAUGGCUACACGCCGCUCCACAUCGCCGCCAAGAAGAACCAGAUGGACAUCGGGACCACGCUGCUGGAGUAUGGCGCCGACACCAACGCCGUGACGCGGCAGGGCAUCAGCCCGGUGCACCUCGCGGCUCAGGAGGGCAGCGUGGACCUGGUCUCCCUGCUGCUCGCCAAGAACGCCAACGUCAACAUGUGCAACAAGAGUGGUCUUACUCCACUUCACUUGGCGGCUCAGGAAGACAAGGUCAACGUUGCAGAAGUCCUUCUGAACUCGGGAGCUGACGUCAAUCCUCAAACUAAGAUGGGUUACACUCCAUUGCACGUGGCUUGUCACUACGGUAACGUGAAGAUGGCGCAAUUCCUGUUACAGAACCAUUCGCGGGUCAAUGGGAAAACCAAGAAUGGAUACACUCCCCUCCACCAAGCGGCCCAGCAAGGCCACACCCACAUCAUCAACCUGCUGCUUCAGCACGGAGCGUCUGCCAAUGAGCUCACACUGAAUGGUAACACUGCCCUGUCUGUCGCCCGUCGCCUUGGGUACAUCUCAGUGGUGGACACCCUGAGACCACUGACCGACGAAAACCUGACCACUGUGACCGCAACAGAAAAACAUAAAAGCAAUGUUCCUGAGACCAUGAACGAGUUCCUGGAUAUGUCAGACGACGAAGGUGAGGAUGCAAUGACUGGGGACACGGACAAGUACCUGCGGCCCCAGGACCUGAAAGAGCUGGGGGAUGAUUCUCUGCCCCAGGAGGGCUACAUGGGCUUCAGUAUAGGAGCGCGCUCGGCCAGCCCUAGGAUCAGUUCGGAUAGGUCCAACACUCUAAACCGGAGCUCCUACGCCCGGGACAGCAUGAUGAUCGAGGAGAUCCUGGCCCCCACCAAGGACACGCUUCAGAGCGGCUGUAAAGAGAUUUCCUACUUGGUUGACCCUCUAAAUAAGCAUUUGGCCGUGACCAGGGACUACAGCACAGAGUGCAUGCGUCGGUACAGCUGGACCCCAGAUACCAUGGACCACAGCCAACACAACACCGUGUCCAGCCCCAUCCACUCUGGCUUGUCCUCCCCGCUCCCCCAGUAUGACUCCAGGUUCCUGGUCAGCUUCAUGGUGGACGCCCGCGGCGGCUCCAUGCGGGGCAGCCGCCACAACGGAAUGCGCAUCAUCAUCCCUCCCAGGAAGUGCACGGCGCCCACGCGCAUCACCUGCCGCCUGGCCAAGAGGCACAAGCUGGCCUACCCCCCGCCCAUGGUGGAGGGAGAGGGCCUGGUCAGCAGGCUGGUGGAGGUGGGCCCGGCCGGGGCCCAGUUCCUAGGCCCUGUGAUCGUGGAGAUCCCUCACUUCGGCUCCAUGCGCGGUAAGGAGAGGGAGCUCAUCGUGUUGCGGAGUGACAACGGGGACACGUGGAAGGAGCACCAGUCGGACGCACGGACGGAAGACCUCCUGGAGCUGCUCAACGGCAUGGACGAAGAGCUGGACAGCCCCAUCGAGCUGGAGAAGAAGCGCAUCUGCCGCAUCGUCACCAUGGACUUCCCGCAGUACUUUGCGGUGGUGUCCCGGAUCAAGCAGGAGUCCAACCACAUGGGCCCCGACGGAGGCACGCUGCUCAGCUCCACCGUGCCCAUGGUCCAGGCCUCCUUCCCCCAGGGGGCGCUCACCAAGAAGAUCCGCGUGGGCCUGCAGGCCCAGCCGGUGCCAGACGACAUGGUGAGGGCCAUCCUCGGGAACAGGGCCACCUUCAGCCCCAUCGUCACCGUGGAGCCCAGGAGAAGGAAGUUCCACAAGCCGAUCACCAUGACGAUCCCGGUGCCCCCGCGGCCAGCGGAGGGCCACCCCACCGGUCACCGGGGCGACGCCGCGCGCUGCCUGCGCCUGCUCUGCAGCAUCACAGGAGGGACGUCCCCUGCCCAAUGGGAGGACAUCACCGGCACGACGCCGCUGUCCUUCGUCACCGACUGUGUCUCCUUCACCACGAACGUGUCGGCCAGGUUCUGGCUCGCAGACUGUCACCAGAUUCCUGAGACGGUGGGCUUAGCGUCUCAGUUAUACCGGGAGCUGAUCUGCGUGCCGUACCUGGCCAAGUUUGUGGUGUUCGCCAAGAUGAACGACCCCGUGGAGUCGCGGCUGCGCUGCUUCUGCAUGACGGACGACAAGGUGGACAAGACCCUGGAGCAGCAGGAGAACUUUGAGGAAGUGGCCCGGAGCAAGGACAUCGAGGUUCUAGAGGGCAAGCCCAUCUUUGCCGAUUGCUAUGGCAACCUCUCUCCGUUGACCAAGAGUGGGCAUCAGUUGGUCUUCAACUUCUACUCUUUCAAGGAGAACCGACUUCCCUUCAACGUUAAGAUCAGAGACAUCGGCCAGGAGCCGUGUGGCCGGCUGUCGUUCCUGAACGAGCCCAAGAGCACCAAGGGUGUUCCCCAGACUUCCAUAUGCAAUUUGAAUAUCACACUGCCAACCCACAGAAAGGAUAUGGAGUCUGAUCCCGAUGAUGAGACUGAAAAGCCAGACCGACGUCAUUCCUUUGCCUCCUUAGCUUUGCGUAAGCGAUACAGCUAUCUGACCGACCCUGCAGCGAAAACAACUGAUCGAAGCACGCCGAGAACACAGCCUUCUAGCUACCCUUACAAACCUGUCUUUUCAACGAGAUCUUAUCAGGCGUGGUCGGCUGUUCCUGUCGCCGUCCCUAACCAAGCCAAGACUGGGUUUGGCUCCCUCUCCAGUUCAUCUUCCAACACGCCCAAUGCCUCACCACUGAAAUCUGUCUGGUCCAUCACCUCUGCCUCCCCCAUCAAGACAAACAUCCCUGGAUCACCAGCCUCUUCUGUCAAGUCAGCUAGUGACAUGGCCUCCCCCAUUCGUUCCUAUAGAACAAUUUCUUCUCCAAUAAAGACUGUUGUGCAACAGACCCAAUACCAAGUACCAGUCUCCUCGAAUCUACUGGCCUCCCCAGGAAAAAGUGCCCCAGACCCUGUAUCUGUGAAAGGAUUGGCAGCAAUGUCUGCAAGGACCUCCCCCAUAACCACUGGAGGAGGAAGUUCUCCUAUGGAUAGGUCAUGCUUAGCUAUGACACCCCCAGGCUCUCCAAAGUCCUCCUAUAACAUGUACAGUCCGUCCCUGCCGUACAAUUCUGUGAUGGGCUCUGGUGUCUCAGUAUCAUCCUCGUCUCCUAUUAAAACAGUUCCUGGACUUUCCUCUGGUCGGUCCCCCGCAGAUCCAUCAGCUCCUUCACGAAGCAUGUUCUCCUGUCUCUCCUCACCACUUAAAAAUAAUAACCCUCCUAGUGCAGCAUCUUUGAUCAACGGAACAGUGUCCCCUAAUCACCAUUAUCGUUCCUCAUCCCCUACCUCUCAUCUCGCCAGCAGUCUUCAGGAGAGGAUACAAGCAACAACCAAUGCUGCAACAACAAGCGUCAAUGCAGCCUUUGAUGAGGUGGAAAAGACAUUUAACUCUUGCUCGGCCGGCUAUGGUACAUUGAAGUCCAUGUCCUCCUCUGCAUCGUCCUCAUAUCAGUCAAUUCGGUCCUCAAGUUCCCUGUAUGCUUCGCUAAGAUCCCCUCCUACCUCGACCAAUGCUGUAACAUCCAGCACCAUGACUGUGCCAGUAUAUUCAGUCAUAAACGUGCUGCCGGAGCCCCAGUUUAAGAAGCUCCCUGAGGUUUCAAGGUCAGCCGCCGCCCUACUCUCGCCUCGUAAAGCAGGCUCUGCUGAGGGGAGUAAUGCUCAAGCGCAGUCAACCUUCACCAAAACUCUUUCACCUGCAAAGUCCUCUCUUGGUAUACCACCAGCCGCCCUCAAGUCAACAGCCUCGUCAGCACUAUCUUCUAGCCAAGAGAUUCUGAAGGAUGUAGCUGAAAUGAAAGAGGAUUUGAUACGGAUGUCAGCCAUCUUGCAAACAGAGCCUACUUCCAAAGCAAGUAAAGGAUUUCAAACGAAUUCUCCAAAGGCGGCUAAGGUAGAGGAUGAGGAGCCAUAUAGGAUAGUAGAGAAAGUAAAGGAAGAUUUGGUCAAAGUUAGUGAGAUCUUGACAAAAGAUACAGUCAAAGAUGGUAGGCCAAGGACAUCCUUGGAUGAGAUGCAAUAUGCAAAGGUACCUGUUGAGCAACCGGCAAGCAACUGGAGCUAUCCCCCGAGAUAUGAGACUGUAGUACCUCAAAUCAAAACAAAGACUGUAGUAGACAGGGAUUUCAAUCUAGCAAAAGUGGUUGACUACCUAGCUCAUGAUGUUGGCGGCAAUUCUUUCUCAAAAACACCAGAAUCAAAGCGUAAAGGAGAUGAGAGAAAGAGGGAAGGCGAGGAGAAGCAGAAACGUGUCCUGAAACCUGCCAUGGCGGUUCAGGAGCACAAACUGAAAAUGCCUCCAUCAAAUAUGCGCUCCUCUGCUUCAGACAAAGAGCUCAGCAAGCUUGCAGAUGUGCUUUUUGGAGCUGACACAAUUCUGGAAUCUCCUGAAGAUAUGUUACAUGAACAAGACAAAAGUCCACUCUCAGACAGCGGCUUUGAGACAAGGAGUGAAAGGACUCCCUCAGCACCUCCAAGUGCAGAGGGAAUGGGCCCUAAAGCCCUUUUUCAGGACAUUCCCAUUCCUCCAGUUAUCACAGAAACUAGAACUGAGGUUGUUCAUGUAAUCAGGAGUUAUGAGUCCCCAGAAGAUAAUAAUUCAUCUGCGAUGGAUGAUCCCCAUAAUGUCAGGUACAUUGAUUCUGAAGCCAAAGGGCAUUCAAAUAAAAACGCAUCAUCGCCAGAUCAGAGCAAGGCCUAUACAUUGAAAAUCAGCCCGGAGGAGGAUCCAAUGGGGAAAGGAAUGCGAGUGAAAGAGGAAACUCAUAUCACAACCACAACCAGGAUGGUAUACCAUAAACCUCCAGGCAAAGAGGUACCAUUAGAGAGAUGUGAGGAGACUAUGUCUGUUCAUGAAAUCAUGAAAGCAUUCCAGUCAGGUAGGGACCCCUCGAGAGAAAUUGCUGGACUUUUUGAGCAUAAAGCUGGUAAUGAGGAGGCUUCACAUAGAGUAUUGGAGGGCAUUAACUCUAAACCCAAGGUUGAAAGAAUUAUUGAAGUUCACAUCGAGAAAGGCAACAAUAAAACUGAACCCACUGAGGUCUUCAUCAGAGAGACUAAGAACCACCCAGAGAAAGAAAUGCACUUCUAUUCUGGAAACAGGCAGCAAGAUGAGGUUGAGGAAUCAAAUCCAGCCUAUUUUGAUUCCUCAAGAGUAAACACACCAAUGUCGCAGGAGGAAGACAGCCGCCCUAGUUCAGCACAGCUCAUCGCAGAUGACUCCUACAAAACCUUGAGGCUACUUAGCCAGCAGUCAGUAGAGUACAAUGAGGAUGAGUCUUCAGAGCUUAGAGGAGGGUCCUAUAACUUUGCAGAAAAAAUGCUCCUCUCUGAGAAACUUGACAAAUCUCAUUCUGACACAGAGGAAUACCUCAGAGAUAGGUCUCACUUUCACUCACCAGAUCGUACCAAUAAUUCAGAGGGUCGACCGAGUAGUCCAAGAACAGAAUAUGUCUUCAGGUCAUCGAGAAAUGUGUUUGACAAAUCGGGUAGAAUGGCUAAUGUUGAGGACAACUUUGACAAACUGACACUUUUGCAGUAUUCUUCUGAGCCUGGUAGCCCAAAGCACUCUGUUUGGAUGCGAGUGUCAGAUGACACAGAACAUAAAAACAGAGAGCAAAUCAUGUAUGAAGACAGAGUUGACAGGACUGUGAAAGAGGCAGAGGAAAAACUCAGUGAAGUGUCUCAAUUUUUCCGUGACAAAACAGAAAAGCUUAACGAUGAGCUUUCGUCUCCAGAAAAGAAGUCUCGUCGAUCAGACUUCAGGGAAACACGAUCCGGGCCUAGCUCCACACAUAGCAGUCCUGAGCGGUCAGGUUACAGGAAUGGAGGUAGUGGGGAAGAAUGGAGUAGAGAAAGGCUCAGAGAGAGAUUCAACUCCAGUGAUAGAAAAUGUGCCAGCUUACCCAGCAGCCCGGAGAGGAGAGUUCUUUUACAGUAUACUGAUUCCAACAAAAGGCAACAGGGAGAUGCAUCGUCACAGGGUAGCACAGGUGAUUCCCCCAAGCCUUUUCAAAUGUCAUCUUCCAAAGUUAGUGCGGUGAGGCUCAAGUUUGAACAAGAGGCCCAGAAGCAAGAACAGUCUCCUCAACGGGUACCAAAUUCAAAUCCUCCAAUUAGAAAGCUACAGGAAAGUAAGCUGCCUGUAUAUCAGGUUUUUACUGGUCCCAAUGUUCCUAAAGGUGCAGAUAGUCCAGGGAUCCAGAGAAAAGGACUCGCUGGUGAGCCCAACUCUCCCAAACAUGACUCUAGUGAUAAUGAACCAGAGAACAUAUUCAAAACAUGGGAGAAACGGGGAAAUGGGAACUUUCAACCCCAAUCACCAAAAUUAUCUAGUGCCAUGAUUCAUGAUGCCAUCAAAGAUGGAAAUAAUCAUGACUCACAUAUACAGGAGACCACCAAGAAAAUUAUCUACACAGAACUUGUAGUGCGGGACAACCCAAAUAGUAAUAGCGGUCUAAAAAAAAACUCGGAAUCACAAAUUCCUGCUAAAAUAUCCUCUGAAUUUUUAGAGAAUUGCCAAUCCACUGUUAAAUCAUGUACUUCUGUUGGGUCUCACAUACCUACUUUAGCUAGAAAUCGGUCGCAAAGUGGCUCUGAAACCAUUACAUCACCCAGUGGAUCGCCAGUCAGAAAAUCGACUGAUAUAUUUGAAGGUAGCCAGUCAAAUGUAGUGUGUAAUGGUGUUGAUAGUGACCAGAUUGAGUAUUUGGCUAAUGUUACUCCUGUUGUUGUCACAGAGAAAUUUAAAGAUAUUAAACCUUUACCAGUUUAUGUUAGCAUCCAGGUCGGAAAGCAAUACGAGAAAGAAACAGCAACAGCGCAGCUUAGUACAUACAAAAAGAUUGUAAGUCAUGAAAGUAGGACGGUGCAUGAGACUAGGGGGGCUUUUUACUCUGUCAAGCAAAAGCAGCCAUCAUCUCAAGGUAGUGAGGACACUAUAGAACAGGUAACAACCUAUGUGGUGGACAGCUCUGUUAAUAGUCCCAUCACCUUUGAGACCCCCAGCUCGGACGACUAUGUGAUGGCCGCUAUGACCGGUGUGCAAAGCCCAGUGCCAGAGGAAUCUGAAGAAGAGGAAGCACAGACCUUCAUCUACAAGGAGCCUCAUACGGAAAAGAGCAAGCCAUCGUCCUCUGAUACUGCCCUUAAAAAACAAGACGCCGCAAGACAAAAGUCAAAGUCAGAGAAGAGAUUAGCUUACAUUGAGUUUCCUCCUCCUCCUCCUAUAGAAGCAGGGCAGUCUGAGCCUCCAAAGAAAGGGUCUUGUGUCUCCUCCGAGGCAGAGACGGAGAUGAUGGAGGUGAAUCUCCAAGAAGAACAUGAUAGGCACCUCCUUGCCGAGCCUAUCAUCAGGGUCCAGCCUCCCUCGCCUGUUCCCCCUGGAGCUGAUGACAGUGACUCCAGCGAUGACGAGUCCGUGUUUCACCCAAUCCCCCUCAAAAAGUACACCUUCAAGAUGAAAGAGGAGGGAGACAAACUUCUUAAGCCCAAAAAGGCGGAGGAAAAUGGGAACAACAACGGUAAAGACGUCAACGGCGUUGUGAAAGGAGAGGAGCUUGACUUUGAGUCAAAUGGCAACGACCAGUCCAUCACUGACUGUUCUAUGGCCACCACUGCAGAGUUCUCCCAUGAUACUGAUGCCACCGAGAUAGACUCUUUAGAUGGGUAUGACCUUCAGGAUGAGGACGAUGGAUUGAGUGAGGAUCCCAAAACAUCUAGUCUAUCAAUGGACUGCAAAACGACCGACCGCUCUUUUUGUCAGUCCAAGCUUGAGGUCAUAGAGGAAGAGAAGUGCGAAGAAGGAGGGGAUAGUGGAAAAGCAAAGGCCAGCACGUCAGAGCAAGGUGAUGGCGAGGAGGUUGAUUACACCCUUGAGGGAAGACACCCAGACAGGCCGCACUUUGGAGAGAAUUACUUCGGCUACCAACUUGAAGAGGAACUGAACUCCACCUUUAAAACUGUCGCCACAAAAGGCCUUGACUUUGAUCCCUGGUCAACCAAAGGGAGUGACAGUGAUGGAGUGUUUGAUUCCAAAGCAAAAGAGGAAGACCCCAAGCCCUUUGGUUUAUCAGUGGAAGACAAGUCUCAGGCCACCACACCAGACACGACGCCAGCUCGAACUCCGACUGACGAGAGCACACCGACUAGCGAGCCAAACCCCUUUCCCUUCCACGAGGGGAAGAUGUUUGAGAUGACGCGCAGUGGUGCUAUUGACAUGAGCAAGCGGGACUUUGUUGAGGAGAGGCUACAGUUUUUCCAGAUUGGUGAGCAUUCCUCUGACCCUAAAACAGGGGAGAAGGGGAGAGGGGGCCCGAUCCUGGGGGUGGUUUCCUCUCAAUCCACAACAGGGGAGAGGGGCACAGUAGAGGGGAAGGUUAUAGACACUACCACAGACAGCAGCAACAUACCAACAACACCAGCAGCGACAGCCGCAAAAUGCAGCCCUGCACAGACCGCCAAUGGCACUAGCACCGGCUGUACCGGCACCGAUGCCCCCAGCGGUGAAGCCGUAGCCGAACCUCCCUCGUCUUGCACGAUUACAGCCUCUAAGGUCGAUUCCAAAUUGCGUACCCCCAUUAAAAUGGGCAUAGCGGCCUCCAUAACUGUGAAAAAAGACUCAGGGGAACUCCCCGAUGGUAAAGCUGCGGUGGCAGAGGGUCAACUAGUGCCAGAGUACAUCAGCAUAGAGGGUCACAGAGCCGAGGGCCAGCCUAGCGGAUACACCGAGGCCAAGGUAGAGAGACAGGAUUACCCUGCCGAGAACAGCAACAACAACAAUAAUUUAGAGUCCUCCAGUGUUCAAGCCAACUACAUUGAAUGUGGCAGUGUGGUGUUUAACUUGCAGUCUUCCUCUCAGCCCACCCUGCAAAAAGCCAGCAGGAUAGAAGCCCUAUGCUACUCAGAGACAGUGGAAAAGAGCAGUUGUAAUCAGACAGAGGAGACCAAGAGUCAAACAGUUAGGGAAAGCGAAGCCAAACAGCCAAAAUCUAGACUUCCGGUGAAGGCGUCAGGGUGGUCCUUCCACACACAGGGGACAGCCAUAGGAAAGCAGAAGCCAAAACAAGUGGUGAAGGCUGAGGUCAGGAAGAGAGCUGAGCCGGCGGUUGCCAAAGUAGAACCCAGGUCUAGGAUACCAAUCAAGGGUGUGAAGAAGAGCAGCGCUGCCUGCUCCCUCACGUCAGCUCAGGUCACCUCCCAGCCUACAAGGGUCUUAGCCACAGAGAGGGGAGCCAUACAGUUGCCCUCGAGACUGCCACUGAAGGACAAGAUCCAGGUCAACCGAGAGCAGACAGCGGGUAGACAGGACAGGCAGGAGAACCCUAGCGAGCUCUGUAAGCGCAGCAUUGAGUACUUUAAGGGCCUUAGCGGGGAGACCCAAAAGCUGAUGGACUGGCUGUCAGACGAGGAGAAAAAGACGCAGACAGAACAGUCGGAGCAAGACAGCACCUCCCGGAGCACCUCUCUGUCGGAUGCCUCCCAGCCUUCCCAGCCCUCCCAGCCCUCACGCUCAUCCAGGUCUGGUAGAGGUUCGAGGGCUGAGGCCGGGGCCGCGUCCGUUAGGGCAAAGGCGGCAGCGACGGACAGGGCCUCCGGCAGUGAGAGGAGCAGAAGGAGUAGGCGGACUGGUGGGAAGGAGGGCAGUCAGGGACUCACGGGGUCUCGAGCGCCCCCCGUCGCGGAGAUCAAGCCUAGUCCCCAAAGCCCCUGCGAGCGAACAGACCUGCGGAUGGCCAUCGUCGCUGAUCACCUGGGUCUCAGCUGGACAGAGUUGGCACGGGAGAUGAACUUCACUGUGGAUGAGAUCAACCACAUAAGACUAGAUAACCCCAACUCUCUGACAGCACAGAGCUUCAUGCUGCUAAAGAAAUGGGUCAGCCGGGAUGGGAAAAAUGCCACAACGGAUGCCUUAACUGCAGUGCUGACCAAAGUCAAUCGGAUGGAUAUUGUGACUUUACUGGAGGGCCCGAUAUUUGACUAUGGUAACAUUUCAGGCACAAGAUGUUUUGCCGAUGAUAACGCGGUUUUCCGGGAUCAGGCUGAUGAUUAUCAGAGUAUCCUAGCGGAGCUGCAGUCCCCCGCCACACUGCACUCCGACCCCCACUUCCUGGAUCCCGAAAUCCCUGUCACACCCAACCCCGCCCUCUCACCCCAUCCUCACCAUCACCAUCACUACCCGGCCCCCGACCCCCCCGCGCCGGGCCAGUGCCCGUCCCAGUCCCCGCCCCUGCCCUGGAGCCCCGAGGCGGGGCCCUUUAGCCGGGAGUCCGGAGAGAGUAGCCCCCCGAGGCCCAGCGAGCUCACGCUGUCCUUCCCGGUGUUUGUGCUCCCGGAGCCGCUCCCCCGAGCCGUCAGGAAGCCCCACAUCGCUCUGAACGACCGGCUGCUGCUGAGCGAGGAGGAGGAGGAGGACGGCGGCGGCUUUCAGGACACGCCCCUCGACCACCGGCCCAAGAUCAUCUGCUCCCCGGAGAGGAGCGACAUCGAGAUGGCCUUCUCCACGUCCUCCCCCUCGCUGUCCUCCAUGUCCUCCAUGACGUCCUCGUCUCCCGAGAAAGUAAAGAGGGCGGAGGGCGAAGGGCUGGUUGGCAUAGUGAUACGUCCAGCGUCCGUGUGGAGCCGCCGACGCCAGGCCGCAGCCUCAGCUCAGACCUUCUGGACAGACACGAACCCAGCCAAGAAAUCUCCAGCGACUCCAUCACUUCCUCAUCCAGAGGCGAAUCAGGGCGGUCCCGACACAACGGUGACAAAUCACAGCAUUCGCCCAAGGAAGGGACCCGAGAUCCAGCCAAUGGCAGGAGGACAGAUGGAACACCAGUGACGGAGAGAAAAGCCCAGCAGGCGGAGGGGACCAGGAAUGGCAGGAGAAAGGACGAGAAGAAGCUGAACUCGUAGUGAUGGUGGUCUUCUGUUAGGUGGGCAGAAAACCACGUGACAUGUUUCCCGAGAACAAGAGGGUGCUGGAGUGCUCCACUGGUUGAGCUUCUCCUCCUUCACUGGCUUUGAACAGAGCCAGAAGAAGCCUUGUUCCACUUCAGCAUGCAUAUGGGAAAACAUGCACUUCCUGUCAAUCAACAGACCUGGAGGUCCCUCCCUUUCCUGUCUGUGGAGCCGAGGAAGAUGGUUCUCCUUCCUUCUUUGUUCUACUCCGUACGUGCCAUUGGUCCAAUGGUGUGUUUUGGGGGCUUUUCUGGAGUGCUGUUUGAUUGUACCAACCGAAUAAAACGACAGACAGAAAUAUCACAACAACAACAACCACAACAACACUGGUGCAACCGAACUUGUACUUCCUUGUGUCCAAAUAUGGCACAAAAUGCUCCAGUGGUGGAAGAAAUGUAGGAAGUUUGUGAGACUAUCACGCAAAACAGAACACCUCUGACACUUCAACACUCGCCUUAUAGUUUUUUUCUUGGACCCAUUAUUAUCAGGAUGUAAAUUGUUUGGGUUGUUUUUUUUCCCCUUUCUUUUUAAAAACUGAACUUAGACGAUACUUUUUUCUGUACAUAAAUUUACAACGUGUAAAAUUCUUAAGAAAAAAAGGAUAAGCUACAGGUAGAGAAUGCACUGAGAUGAGCUAACUUUUCAAGUGCUUUCAAAAUUUAUUGAAAUGGUUCCACUUUUAAGGAAGAUUUGAGUGAAAUUUCCACAUGUUCUUGUACAAUUAAUUAUUAUAGCAGGUAUAAUGUUUGUAUAUGAAAGAAGCUGAUUCAAUUUUAACAGGAAAAUUUCCACACACAAAAAAAGCAAAUUUCAGUUAUUCCCGAUGUGGGAAUGGAUUAAAUCCUUUUAGAGUAUUCAUAUUUUCAUGCAUGCUGUUCACAUUAUUUUGAGUACAAUUUUUACAAGUUUGCAAACACUGUAUUCAAAAUUAAAUAUAAAUCCCUUUAUCCGUGUAGACAUAUAGCCCUAAAAUUUGUCACCAAUUUUAUAUUUUCGAUUUCAAAAUGAUACCAUUAAAUCAUUGGUCAUGUUUGGGGAUGAGUAAACCAUACAAAGAAAAAAUACGUUCUAUCGCUUCUUGAGGGUCUAAUGUCUUGUCUGUCUAUGUUAAACGGAAGGGCAGCUUCUGCUACAGGAAAGAAAUCAGCUGAAUGUAAAUGCUAGUAGGCUGGCUCGCUGUUAAAUUAUAACUGUGUUGUGUGUAUUGGCUAUAAGGUGUAGGAGUCUCUGUCCACUGUUAAACUGUCUGUGUAGCAGUGUGUUGAGUUUGGUUUUCAAAAGGCUGCUGUGGUAUUCAAUGAAAAACUGGGGCAUUUGAUUUUGGUAUUUCCUUUGUUACAAACCUACACACAUUAAGGACACAUAAAGGCAUUUUUUUGAUUGUAGCUGAAAGUUAGACUAUUGUAUGACAACACACUGGAUGGUCAAAGCAAUUAUUUAAGCAUUGAAUAAAUUGUGUUUAACUCUAAAACUGUGUGAUCCUUUUAGAUUUGAGCGUUUGUACAUGCAGUGACGAAUAGAAUUGUUUUCAAUAAGUCAUUGGCAAAUCUUACUUUGCAUUAGGUACUAUUUUUUGUAUUGGUUUUGAAUAGAUGCCCAUGUAGUUCAAGUGUGAUGUUCUACUGGUGUGUUGCCUCAGACUUUAGUGUGCAGAUGUUUAUGAUGCCGACAUGAACAACUAUGUUAAGGACUUUGAUUUUAUGCAAAUGAAGUUAAACUAGUUUGUCGUGUCAAAAUCCCCUUUUCCUGUUAUGUCAAUCAUGGGGGAGGGAAUCCUUUGAUAUGGUUUAACAAAUAACUGUCCAUUUUGUUUAAUAUGUGUUUUCACCAGAACAGAUUUUUCAAUGUACAAUUCUUACUAACACAGCCAUUGAAAUGUAACUACUUAGCACUUUGGGUUUUCAAUCUUCUUUUAGAGGCUAUAGCAGAUGGUUCCAACACAAAUGUUUUAGACAUCUUUAAAAAAACUAAAUUAAAACAAACAAAAUAAAAUGCAUUGUCUUUGAAAUCA